rnacentral:lncRNA from 1 species
AUCUACUUCCAGAGCUUCUCUGGUUGCAGCAUUUUCUCUAAUUAAAUUUGAGAUUAAUUAUUUUGGAGCAGCUCCCUCUUCAAUCUAAUCCUUUCUGGAUCUGUGGUUAGUUGUUCUUCUUCUUCUUCCCCUACUCUUUUCAAUUAAUUUUUAUUUUCUUUGCUAUCAAGUAGUUGAUUCUGCAAAAGGGUACAAGGAGUAUACUAUAUGUCUUUGUUGAUUAAUGUGUUGUUUGGAUUCACUUGAUCUUUAGAAACAAAAUAACAAGAGAUUAUAAUUAAGGUAGAAUAAUUU